UACAUGGAUAGCUCAGUUGGGUUAAAGAAUGGUGCUGAUGACACCAUGGUUGUAGGUUCAACCCCUGUAUUCCUGUAG